CUUUUUGAUAAUAAUUUAAAGUCUGAUCUGCCCACUGAGAAAUUAAAUGGCCGCGGUAUUUUGACCGUGCAAAGGUAGCAUAAUAAUUAGUUUUUUAAUUGAAAGCUGGUAUGAAUGAUUGAACGAGAAAAUAACUGUCUCUAUUUAAAUUAAUUAAAAUUUUAUUUUUAAGUUAAAAAGCUUAAAUAUAUUUUAAAGACGAGAAGACCCUAUAGAGUUUAAUAUACUUUAUAAUAGAUUAUUUUUGUAAAUUUUUAUUAUAUCUUAUAUUUUGUUGGGGUGAUAGAAAAAUUUAAUUAACUUUUUUUAAAUUAAAACAUUAAUUUAUGAUUUAUUGAUCCAUAAAAAUGAUUAAAAGAUUAAAUUACCUUAGGGAUAACAGCGUAAUUUUUUUUAAAGUUCUUAUUAAAUAAAAAGUUUGCGACCUCGAUGUUGGAUUAAAAUUUAUUUUUGGUGAAGAAGCUAAAAAGUUAAGUCUGUUCGACUUUUAAAAUUUUACAUGAUCUGAGUUUAAACCGGUGUGAGCCAGGUUGGUUUCUAUCUUAAAAUAAUUUAAAUAUUUUAGUACGAAAGGACCAAAUAUUUAUAAUAAUUAUUUAAUUUUGAUUAAUAUU
rnacentral:rRNA from 1 species